CGUUCCUGAGCUCACACCCUCUGAAACUGCAACAUGGGCACCUGGCAGCGGUACUUGGGGAAGAGGAAGACUAUGAGUUCAGCCUGACCACCUGCAAGGGUGCUGGGCUGUGCCUGUGGUGACUUCUCAGCCCUGGUCUUGUUGGUGUGAACUGCACAGCCCACUGUGGACUUCCUGCCUUUCAGCGCUGGCUCGGGACAUGGAGGCACGCUGCCAUCGCAAGCCAAGAAUGACGCGCACAUUUUUCUAGCUUUCCCGAUGCUCACAGACACUGCCAGCUUCCUGCCCACUGUCCCCUGGGGCUCCAAGGAUAAUCUCUUCAGCUGACACCCAGAAGACAGACAGCCUUCAACAAAAGAUCACCCUAACAAUGUCCAGGAUCCCCAAGCCCUGCUACCCCCUUGCAUGGCUGGGUCCCAUGGCACCAACUCAGCCCCUCAGACACUUGAGUUCUGGGUUGCAAACUUCUUCCUAAACCUACGAGAAACCACCCAGCCAGGAGAAGCUGCUCUAGGGAUGGCCACAGAGAUGCUCUAUAGCACCGGCACCCUCCCAGGAACUCAGCCUAGAAAGAGAUGAGAAGCAGGCAGCCAUCUGUUUGUGGGAGCUGAGCUCACGGGCUAGUGACUGACAGGUGUUGACAGAGACUCAGAGCCACAAACAACUUUAAGCCUGUUUCCCAAGCUCUCGUCAUCACUGGUCCCGCCUUGAGAGAAGCACUCAUCACCACAGUAGAGACAGCAAAGUGUCACGUGGCUCAGAGAGAGCAAAAAACUCCAGGAGGAGGGUGGGAGAACCAGUGGAGACUUUGGGGGAGACUUGACCGGCUUGUGUGCAGUGCUCACUGGACA